CAGCCGCCGCGGUAAUACGGAGGGUGCAAGCGUUAAUCGGAAUUACUGGGCGUAAAGCGCACGCAGGCGGUUUGUUAAGUCAGGUGUGAAAUCCCCGAGCUUAACUUGGGAACUGCAUUUGAAACUGGCAAGCUAGAGUCUUGUAGAGGGGGGUAGAAUUCCAGGUGUAGCGGUGAAAUGCGUAGAGAUCUGGAGGAAUACCGGUGGCGAAGGCGGCCCCCUGGACAAAGACUGACGCUCAGGUGCGAAAGCGUGGGGAGCAAACAGGAUUAGAUACCCCGGUAGUCCCUGUCUCUUAUAC
rnacentral:rRNA from 1 species